CUCAGGAACUGUCUGGGAAUUGGCCAGUGGGUGGAUUGUAUUGUGUCUCACUUGUUUUCCCUUGGGUUUUAUUUCUCCCUUUCCCUCUCAUCUUCAUUACAAUUUACAAUUAUUAUUAGUGGCCAUGCACUUCUGGAUCAUUGUGAUCUGUAUUUCAGGUGCCCAGGGAUGUUAAACAGUUUUUCCCAGGAAAGUUUUCCUUUUUAAUAGCUUUUUUGAGCACCUUUGGUACCCUCCAUCGGACUGCAAGCACUGGUGAUGUGUAAUGUCCCAGGAAUAAGGAUUUUUAGAAGAAAGUUUUUAAAGUUUUCAGUAUUCAGCCUGGUCUGCCUGCUGCAUUUAAAAAAUCAAGAAAUCUAUCAUGACAUGUGGUAUGAUUUAUGUGUCUUGCAAGCAAAACACUUUUUUCAUGUGUCCUGAGCACCUGAAGAUAUCUGACAGGCCUUCAACAAAACAUUGGGCUGUCUCCCAAUUAUCUGUGUAGCACAGUGGGUUUUGUCACUGGGGUCCGUGCUCUCCAUUUGAUAACCUAGAAGCAGUAGAGGGGAUUAUGCUGUGUGGGAACAACCACUUGCCUGUGAUGCAUGGUCAGGGAGGGUGAUCUUACAAGCAUGUAAAAAUAGAGCUGCCAGAGCCAUGUCUCUGCAUGCUGGAGCACAUGAUGCUGGAGCUAUACAACUCACCUGUGCUGUUUCCUGGUGGACUUGCUGGGUGGUGGGAUGUGGCAGGAGAGCAGAAACACGGGAGUGUUGAGGUAUAUGUGAAGCCAAGUGAUGUUCAAUAAACACUGACCUAGUUUAAGGUCUGAGGAAACACUUGUGCUUUGUCAGACAAGUUUGUCUCUUGGGAAAUUAUUUACUUUUUCAUCACUUCUGCGGCUUUUUCAUAGUGUCGUCAUGUGCUAAGGGGCAGAUCAUGCUCUGAUGGGAAGUGGUGGACCCUGCUUGUUCACAGGAAAGCUCCUAAAUGGAGGCUCGCAUGGCACUGCUGUGGGUGGCCCUGAACCCACCUGGAUUACCUCAGAGUCAGGGAGCCAUUGGGAAGGUCUGUCAGAAACAUGCUGUCCAGAGCUGCGCAAUCAUACAAACAAAUUAAUCUUCAGCUGAGUGUGGAUGGAGAUCUGCAGGGAGAAAUACUGUAGGAUAGUAUGAACUAUUUUUCAUUCUCCAAUUCCUUCAUGUGAAGACACCACUAGAUGGCUGCAUUAAAUCAUUCUUAUUAGAGACAUUUUAUAACAGGUUUAUUGUUUUGGACCCCAGCAACUAUCCUAAUAAAGAUACUAACAGCAGGUGUUUACUAUGCUUUGCAGAUUACAACAACAAAAAUGGGCUUUGCGUGAUCCUGAAGAGGACAGAAGUGAGGAGGUUUGUUGUACUUUAUUCCCUAGCUCUAUGGGUUUUUUUUUUCUUCUACUUUGAAUACUGUUGUUAUAUUGUCUACCAUUCAUGAAGUAAGGAAUGCCUUGGAAAAAACAUGUAUCUGGCAUAUGGAGGAUACUUUACCUCUCCAUACUCCUUUCUGUCCUCAAGCUAGGUUUAAACAGGCCUUCUUUGGCUUCUGUUUAAGUCAUGAGUUAAACGUACCUUAGCUGGUACAAUAAACUAGCUUGGCCUCCACAGAAAACAUUUUGUUAGAAUACUCUGAGAAUUGAGAUAUUAUUACGCUCUUGUUUCUGCUGAAUCCAUGUUACUACAGAUGAGAUCAAUUAAGUGGAAUUAAAUCCCCUCUCAUUCUAUUUUGAAUAGUGAUCCGGUUCACACUGUUGGUUCACACACAACCUGCCUUGGGAAGAGAUCAGGACUCUCCAACUGAAUUGCACCUGAAAAAAGUUUUUAUGUUGCUGAAAAAAUCUUCAGAUCUGACUGCACAGGUAACCCCAUAGGAACAAAUACUGAAAUCUGGAUAUUAAACACGUGUAUGUAUAAUAAAUUCAGCAAUUAAGGA